CGGGUGAGUAACGCGUGAGGAACCUGCCUCAAAGAGGGGGACAACAGUUGGAAACGACUGCUAAUACCGCAUAAGCCCACAGCUCGGCAUCGAGCAGAGGGAAAAGGAGCAAUCCGCUUUGAGAUGGCCUCGCGUCCGAUUAGCUAGUUGGUGAGGUAACGGCCCACCAAGGCGACGAUCGGUAGCCGGACUGAGAGGGUGACCGGCCACAUUGGGACUGAGACACGGCCCAG
rnacentral:rRNA from 1 species